UACGUAGGGGGCUAGCGUUGUCCGGAUUUAUUGGGCGUAAAGAGCGUGUAGGCGGCCAGGUAGGUCUGCUGUGAAAACUCGAGGCUCAACCUCGAGACGUCGGCGGAAACCAUCUGGCUAGAGUCCGGAAGAGGAGAGUGGAAUUCCUGGUGUAGCGGUGAAAUGCGCAGAUAUCAGGAAGAACACCCGUGGCGAAGGCGGCUCUCUGGGGCGGUACUGACGCUGAGACGCGAAAGCGUGGGGAGCGAACAGG
rnacentral:rRNA from 1 species